rnacentral:rRNA from 1 species
AGCGAACGCUGGCGGCGUGCCUAACACAUGCAAGUCGAACGUGAAAGUUCUUCGGAAUGAGUAAAGUGGCGUACGGGUGAGUAACACGUAGGUAAUCUACCUUAAAGUUUGGAAUAACCUGCCGAAAGGCGGGCUAAUACUGGAUAGAGCGAGGAACUCGUAAUAGGGUUUUUCGGGAAAGGGAGCCUGUAAGGGCCCUUGCUCUAAGAUGAGCCUGCGUCCCAUCAGCUGGUUGGUAAGGUAAUGGCUUACCAAGGCAAUGACGGGUAGCUGGUCUGAGAGGAUGAUCAGCCACACUGGAACUGAAACACGGUCCAGACUCCUACGGGAGGCAGCAGUGGGGAAUCUUGCGCAAUGGACGAAAGUCUGACGCAGCCACGCCGCGUGAGUGAAGAAGGCCUUCGGUUUGUAAAGCUCUGUCGGAAGGGACGAAAAUGCAGUGAGUGAAUAGCUCAUUGAACUGACGGUACCUUUAAAGGAAGCACCGGCUAACCCCGUGCCAGCAGCCGCAGUAA